rnacentral:rRNA from 1 species
CACGUAGGGUGCGAGCGUUGUCCGGAAUUAUUGGGCGUAAAGAGCUCGUAGGCGGUGUGUCGCGUCGGCCGUGAAAACCUGCAGCUUAACUGUGGGCUUGCGGUCGAUACGGGCAUGACUGGAGUUCGGCAGGGGAGACUGGAAUUCCUGGUGUAGCGGUGAAAUGCGCAGAUAUCAGGAGGAACACCGGUGGCGAAGGCGGGUCUCUGGGCCGAUACUGACGCUGAGGAGCGAAAGCGUGGGGAGCAAACAGG